AUUGAACGCUGGCGGCAGGCCUAACACAUGCAAGUCGAGCGGAUGAAGGGAGCUUGCUCCUGGAUUCAGCGGCGGACGGGUGAGUAAUGCCUAGGAAUCUGCCUGGUAGUGGGGGAUAACGUCCGGAAACGGGCGCUAAUACCGCAUACGUCCUGAGGGAGAAAGUGGGGGAUCUUCGGACCUCACGCUAUCAGAUGAGCCUAGGUCGGAUUAGCUAGUUGGUGGGGUAAAGGCCUACCAAGGCGACGAUCCGUAACUGGUCUGAGAGGAUGAUCAGUCACACUAGAACUGAGACGCGGUCCAGACUCCUACGGGAGGCAGCAGUGGGGAAUAUUGGACAAUGGGCGAAAGCCUGAUCCAGCCAUGCCGCGUGUGUGAAGAAGGUCUUCGGAUUGUAAAGCACUUUAAGUUGGGAGGAAGGGCAGUAAGUUAAUACCUUGCUGUUUUGACGUUACCAACAGAAUAAGCACCGGCUAACUUCGUG
rnacentral:rRNA from 1 species